CGAACGCUGGCGGCGUGCUUAACACAUGCACGUCGAACGCUGAAGCUCAGCUUUUGUUGGGUGGAUGAGUGGCGAACGGGUGAGUAACACGUGAGUAACCUGCCUCCUUCUUUGGGAUAACGCCCGGAAACGGGUGCUAAUACUGGAUAUUCACUGGUCUUCGCAUGGGGGUUGGUGGAAAGGGUUUUUCUGGUGGGGGAUGGGCUCGCGGCCUAUCAGCUUGUUGGUGGGGUGAUGGCCUACCAAGGCUUUGACGGGUAGCCGGCCUGAGAGGGUGACCGGUCACAUUGGGACUGAGAUACGGCCCAGACUCCUACGGGAGGCAGCAGUGGGGAAUAUUGCACAAUGGGCGCAAGCCUGAUGCAGCGACGCCGCGUGAGGGAUGGAGGCCUUCGGGUUGUGAACCUCUUUCGCUCAUGGUCAAGCCGCAACAAUGGUUGUGGUGAGGGUAGUGGGUAAAGAAGCGCCGGCUAACUACGUG
rnacentral:rRNA from 1 species